GGUUUUCCUCUCUCUCAUGAAAUCCCUCUGGUUACAAUUCAGGAGAAUGGGAAGAGAGAGAGAGAGAGUGUGGCUGACGAAGACUGUUUAAACGGCUCUGCCGCCUCCACCGUGUUAUACCGUCUGACCAGUCAGUCGUCGGUCGUUUAAUAGGUGGAUGAUGGUGAUGUUCGCCGAUCUCUGUUGCGGCGGUCUCCAUUUCUUUCAAGCGGUUAAGGUUUCGACCCACUUCUGGUAACCCUAUUUCUAUUGCAUGUUUAGUAUCUUGUUAGAUCAGGAAUGCCGUGAACGAGGGAGAUGAACGGCGGUGGGUUCCAAUCGCAGGCCUGGUCAGGGCUUCCUUCUGGUUUUUGGGGGUUUUCACUAUGGCCACUAAAUAAUGGUUAGGGUUUCAAACAUGAGACGUUGGUUGUUGACGGCGUCCGUUCAUGGGCUCCUAUGGUGGUGGCAAUUGUUGACUGUGCCUAUUUUUCAGUUUCCUUUGUUAGGGGUCGAUGAUGGCUAGGGUUUCCUAUGCUGAGACUCUAACCGACUUUGAUGUGUGGUGGUUGCUUUUAUCUACGAUGUACCGAUCACGAUGGGUUUCUUCAUCUUAGAUGUUCUUGGUUUGAAUAAUGAAACCCUAAGUCGCUUAUGUAUUAUUUUUGCUGGUUAGGGUUUCUGCCGAUCAUGUAUAUUGUAUACAUAUAAAUCUGUGAUUUAUAGAGCUCCUUUGAUGAUGGAGCUACAUGCAUUUGGUCUAUGAUUCUGUUUUUGGCGUUUGGGUUACUGAGGCGAUGAUGAUUGUGUGGGUGUAAACCGAGUUGAGGAUUUCACCGUGGCGUGGCAUGUUUGAGAGAUGGUAGAUGUUCACCUGCAACCUCCAAUGCAGCCACGGUUAUCUCCUUCAUUUACACCCUCUGAGCCUCGGAAUCUAUGCAACUUGAUGGCAUGUAAUGCUCUUUUUAUAUCGGAACUAGUUGCGUUAUACAUAUGUAUUAAUAGCCACACUUUUAUCUGCUGCUAAUUGGAUGCUUUUCACUAAUUCUAAGGAUGGGUUAUUAGCUCAGAUUUAGGAAAAUUUUCUACCCUGCAAGACACCGCAUCAGGCAAGUUCUUAAAAAAGUUUAUGUUCUCUUCAUUAAUCUUGGAUAUUCAGAUAAAAAAACAUGUUAGAACGCCUUAUUAAAUUAUGAUGUUAUUACAAUAUUCAGUGUGUAUCAUUUAAGAUUGUCACAAAUAGCACAUUUUGUAAAAAAAAAAUUUAAAAAAACUCUUUCUAUGCCCAACAUUAUAUACUAGGUUAAGGAUUAUUGUUUUAACCAUGCUCGCAUACAGAUUGUUGAAGCUGGGUUUGUGUUUUGUGUGGAAUGUGUUUUGUGUGUCCACACACAAAAAAAAAAAAGUUAGGGGUGCUCAUUAACGUGUUUAAAGAUUGCCCGACCACGCGUCUCAUUGUUUGAAGCAAACCAUAUAAAACCAUAGAAAGAGAGUGACCGGGUGGUGGUUGCAGCGGUGUCAUGGCGGUGGUGGUGGUUCCGGCGAGAUAUCACGGCAACGAUGGUGGUUAGCAACCCUAGCCGCCGCCUCUGGUGAGGUGGUCUUUUGAAGGUUAAGGGGUGAUUGAUUCAGGUUGUGGAGAUUGCGAUUGAGAAAGGGGAAGACGAGGACAGCAAAGCAACACCUUCCAGUGGUGCCGGCUACUCAACAGAGGACGAUUUCCCUUUACAUUCGAAUUUGGAUUAGCAAAAGAUAAAUUAAGGGUAAGGCAUGGUGGAAGAAAGAGGCUAGUUCCCAAGGGUAUUGUUUAUAGAAAACCUACAAACUAAGGUGUGACUUACUUUAAGUUCCAAUGUAGCAAGACGUCUAUUGUAGAGGAAAAAGCCAGAAGGAAGUUGGGUGGUCUUAAAGUCCUCAGUUCUUACUAGCUUAAUGAGGACUCGAUUUACAAGUACUUCGAGGUUAUUUUGGUUGGUCGUGCACAUGUGUACCGACCCAAAGAUCACACCCAGAAAAUGGGAUGGGAUGUCAUGUUUUUGUAUGUAUCAUUUUGUUAAUGUAGUUGAAUUUAUAUGUAUUUAACUGAAGACAUAACUUUCGUAUGAUUUUUAAUUUGUUAAAUACAAAAUAUAAUGUAUUU